rnacentral:rRNA from 1 species
UUAAGCCCACCAGCGUACCGUGAAGUACUGGAGUGAGCGAUCCUCUGGGAACCACGGGUCGCCGCCUGCC